rnacentral:lncRNA from 1 species
GUGGAACAUGAAAUUGAAAGUGAAGUGCCCAGAGUUUAAGAGAACGCCCUGCAGGCAGGGGGCAGAAUACACCUGUCACAGUGGGCUGUGGCUUCAGGAUGUCUGCAGUGAUCCAUGGGGUGGCGGCUGUUGGCAGGUUUCUUCGGGGGGUUAUCAAUAGGCUGAGGCCAAGCUCACACGAGGAAGAGUUCUACUGCGGCUAUGAGUGCACAGAAUGCCACAUCUACCGUGAGGAUGGUGAGCUCCACAGGUGAGUCCUGAGCCUGCCCCCUGGCAGGUGGAGACUGGCGGGUCUCAUGGUUCCCAAUCCCUGCCCAGGAGCGGGAGGAGCCCUGAAGCGUCUCAGCAACUUGGAGCCAGACCUUUCUUCACCCUUAUUAGCGCCCUUCCUCUGUGUCUGUUUUCCAGGAAGAGGUGUGUCUACUUUGGAAAGAAGAGAAGACAAAGAGAUGAGGACACCUCAAAUGGCAAGGGAAAUGUCAUCGAAGAUUUGCAGCUUCCAGUCUGCUCUCCGCUUCAGCCUGCGCUCUGCAACUGAGCCCGCUGGAUCUGCUGCUCCUCUAGUCAACAGAACAUGGGAAUUUGAGAUGGAUGUUAACAGAGAGGCCUGCCUAGGGCACAUGCGUCUGUGUGGGGGCACCCAUGCCUGGGGCCUUGGGGGACACCCUCCCUGUACCCCCCUGCACGUGAGCUCGUGGGUUGGAGGAACAAAUAUCUAGACGCUUAACCCUAACUCUUCAGUCACUGCUGCAUUUAAUAAACACGAGUGAGCAUUUCAUGUGUUCAAGACUCUCUUGCUGGCAGGAGGGGGACAAUGGGGAGCGUGACACAGUCUGUCCCCUCAAGGAAGUCCUGGGUCAGGAGAGAGGACGCCAUGGGCGGAGGUUCCCGCACACGGGGCAGCAUGAGGGACACACAGGAGGAGCACGGAGCUGCGUGAGAGUCACUCUGGCAGUGGCGCGGCAGGGAAGGGGACAGAGGGGACCAGGCCUGGCUGGGGAGGUGACAUCCGAGUGGGGCAUUAGAGGACAGUGACGGGUUCCUCUGUGUCACGAGGCCCCACACUGUGUGCAGGAGUUAUGGGGACAGUGGGCCACCCCCCAGACGAUCAGUCCUUACAUGUGCUGCUGCCACGGCUGGGACAGAACUCAGGAAGGUCCAGGGUGUCCGGAUCAGACAUCUCCAGGCGUGAGGCUAGUGUUGCACAGCGCUACUUGAAAAAUAUAAGGUCUCACUCCAGAGAGAGACGGCUGCGUCUAUGACUUGUGUGUUUACAGAGGAGAGUGUAAAUAAGGUUAUCCACGGAGAUCACCUGGCAUCCACGGUCACACUGUGACAGGUCACAGCAUCACCUGUCACGUGCUGGUGCUGUCUUGCUUUCCUUAGCUCCAGAAGGACUGCGAAGGUGUCUGCGGUUUUUAUUCGAUUGGGAUAUUUGGUUAAUAAAUACACAACAUG